rnacentral:rRNA from 1 species
UACAGAGGGUGCGAGCGUUAAUCGGAAUUACUGGGCGUAAAGGGCGCGUAGGCGGCCUGGUAAGUCGGAUGUGAAAGCCCUGGGCUUAACCUGGGAAUUGCAUUCGAUACUGCCAAGCUAGAGUACGGUAGAGGAAAGCGGAAUUCCGGGUGUAGCGGUGAAAUGCGUAGAUAUCCGGAGGAACAUCAGUGGCGAAGGCGGCUUUCUGGACUGAUACUGACGCUGAGGCGCGAAAGCGUGGGGAGCAAACAGG